CACAGAGAGAAACCAUGGGACCAUCGGAAAGGGGUUCCGCUGCGCAGAAGUGCUUGAAACGAGUGCAGUUACAUUAAACGUAGGAGAAAAGAAGAAAGGUACGUGACAAUCCGAUUCAAGGCUCCAGGAAGCAUGCCACACAAAUGACUGUUGAGCUGUGCAAUGACUCAGCAGGAAAAAAAAAAAGAGAGAGAGAAAAAGAAAAAGGAAAGAACGAAAAACUACAGCAGCAGAUUGGACAGUCUUUCCUAUAAGAAAUAACAUCUAUCGUGGAAAACUAAGCAAAUAAAGAAAUAGGAACAAGAAGAGCUCCCGCCUGGAAUUCCACCUCGCUGCCUCCCUCCUCAGCCUCGCCCGCUGCACACCUGAGGCAGCCGGCAGGGAUCGGGCUGCCCUUAACCCCUGCUGUGCCUCCGCCUCGGGAGGCCGGUACCGCGCCUCUACACAGGCUGCUUUGCUUUGUGAGCAGUACGGUAGGAAGCUAAAGCCUGGCAGUAAGUCAGAGAAGCAUGAAGCUGAAAGAAGACGCGAGCCUGGGGAAGCUGGCACAACCCCAAAAGGAACUGGGGUGGUGCAAGACAGGAGAUGGUCACCCCCUGCCCCGCGCCUGCCGAGCCAGCGAGGACGGACAGGACAGCCACGACAGGAUGCUUCUGCACCUCCUCGGUCGUCCUCCUGAGAAACUGGCAUGAAAUGUAAGCUCCCGUUCUACUUGCGUAACUUUACAGGACAGCUCUCCCGUGUCUGCUGAGGCUGAACAGCUCUCACGUUAUCUCCCUGAAAGGGAGAGAUUAAAUGUUACCUGUUAAACACACGUGGCACAGGCCAAGCAGACAGAUGAGGAGAGUCAGGGUAUGCAGAUUGCGCUGCUCAGUUUGAACAGCCUUGCACUCAUUCUCUCCUUUGCAAAGCUUUAUGCAAAUAGCUUUUCAAGAACAUUUAAUCCUCCACCCUCCUGAAUUGCCACUGAAGCCUUCGUGUCCCUUCAGUUCGGAAGCUGCCUGCAGGAGACACUCCCGGCACUAAGUCCGGCAGCCUCGAGCCACACGCUGAAGGGCAGCGAAACUUGAGCAGGUGCUGCCACGCUUUGCAAGGCUGGGGUAGAAAAAUGCAGACGGAUCAGCACAGGCAAACAUUGGUAGCACAUUAGAAAAGACAGAUUUCGUACCAACAAAACACGUUUGCACCUGAAGCCUUCUGCUAGACCACACUAAUGCCAGGACAACUCUUCCCAUGUCAUCAAUCGCCGCAGACAUUUGCACAUAAAGCAAUGCUGAACCAACCUCUUGCUCAGGUUUCAGUGUUAUUUUCUACCAGCAUGCUGCCAUACACCUGCUAUUGUACUGAUAGCCGGUCAGGUUCAAUUAAUUUCUUUUAACCCACUCAAAAGUGCCUCUGUAGGUAAUGAAAAGUAUCAUUAAGCUCUUAAGUUUGUAAUAAUAGAAAAAUGUGUCAUUUGAUGUGCACGUUUCCUUUCUGUUUUAUCUGGGCUGUACCUAGCAUCAGCAAACAUCCAACAUUAAUGGGUGUUGUUUCUCUGAUCAGCUAACUUAAAGAGUGUUAGGAGGGCUGGGGAAGGGGAAUGCUUGGGCCAGGUUUGGGAAAGUAGCUUUGAGAGACAAGGCUCGAUAUCAGUAAGCAUAUGAAUAACAUAUUUAUGGAAUCAGCAAAAGCAGGUGUAUUCAAUCUAAUCAGAAGUUCAAUCUAUAUAUAUGCUAAUGCACCACAUAUUAAAUUCAUUGGCUUUACUUCCUUUGAAUUACUAAUAAAUACUUUUCCAAAGGG